GUCGACCAAAGAGCUCUUGACCAGAUCCCCCAAAACCGCACCAUCGAAUAACUUGAAGUCCCUCCUUCAUUAGAAGUCCAAAAGGCCAUUCAACAAAUGAGUGCAGCAAGGCACCCGGUAAAGACGGGAUCCCAACCGAGGUGUACAAGGCCUUAAAUGGAAAGGCACUUCAGGCAUUCCAUAUAGUGCUGACCAGCAUAUGGGAAGAGGAAGACAUGCUCCCAGAACUCAGAGAUGCCUCCAUCGUAGCCCUAUACAAGAACAAAGGUGCACGAGCAGCCUGUGACAACUACAGAGGCAUCUCACUACUCUCCACUGCUGGAAAGAUCCUCGCCUGUGUUAUACUCAACAGACUCUUGUCAUCUGUCUCAGGGCAGAACCUGCCUGAAUCACAAUGUGGCUUCCAACCAGAUCGCAGCACCAUCGACAUGGUCUUAAUGGUGAGGCAAAUGCAGGAAAAAUGCCUUGAGCAGAACCUGAGUCUCUAUAUUGUCUUCAUAGACCUGACGAAGGUGUUCGACACAGUGAACAGGGAUGCAUUGUGGGUGAUCCUCAGCAAGCUCAGUUGCCCAGCAAAAUUCAUCAAACUGAUCCAGCUCUUUCAUGUCAAUAUGACAGGGGACGUCCUAUCUGGUGGAGAGACUUCCGAUCGCUUCAACAUCUCCAAUGGCGUGAAACAAGGCUGCGUCCUUGCUCCGGUGCUAUUCAACCUAUGCUUCACCCAAGUAUUACGACAUGCAGUGAUGGAUCUAAACCUGGGUGUUUACAUCAAAUACCAUCUGGAUGGCUCACUAUUCAAUCUUUGCCGCCUGACCACAAAAACAAAAACAACAGAGAGACUCAUCCUGGAAGCUCUCUUCGCAGAUGACUGUGCUCUCAUGGCCCACCAAGAAAAUCAUCUUCAAACCAUUGUGGACAGGUUCUCCACUGCAACAAAACUGUUUGGCCUGACUAUCAGCCUCAACAAAACAGAGGUGCUGUUCCAAUCUGCACCAGGGACGCCAAUUAACCAUCCGUGCAUUACAAUCAAUGGCACACAGCUUUCCAACAUCUGCACUUUCAAGUACCUGGGC
rnacentral:lncRNA from 1 species